UACGUAGGGGGCUAGCGUUGUCCGGAAUCAUUGGGCGUAAAGCGCGUGUAGGCGGUUCGGUAAGUCCGCUGUGAAAGUCGGGGGCUCAACCCUCGAAUGCCGGUGGAUACUGUCGAACUAGAGUGAUGUAGGGGAGACUGGAAUUCCUGGUGUAGCGGUGAAAUGCGCAGAUAUCAGGAGGAACACCGAUGGCGAAGGCAGGUCUCUGGGCAUUAACUGACGCUGAGGAGCGAAAGCAUGGGGAGCGAACAGG
rnacentral:rRNA from 1 species